rnacentral:tRNA from 1 species
AGGCGCGCUGGCGCACGGUGCUGGCGCGGGCGCUCGCCUUGCCGCAGGCUCCGGUCGAGGAGGGCGCCCCGGUCGCGGCCGGGCACCUCUACC